rnacentral:rRNA from 1 species
GACGAACGCUGGCGGCGCGCCUAACACAUGCAAGUCGAACGAGAGAUGAGGAGCUUGCUCUUCAAAUCGAGUGGCGAACGGGUGAGUAACGCGUGAGGAACCUGCCUCAAAGAGGGGGACAACAGUUGGAAACGACUGCUAAUACCGCAUAAGCCCACGGCUCGGCAUCGAGCAGAGGGAAAAGGAGUGAUCCGCUUUGAGAUGGCCUCGCGUCCGAUUAGCUAGUUGGUGAGGUAACGGCCCACCAAGGCGACGAUCGGUAGCCGGACUGAGAGGAUGAACGGCCACAUUGGGACUGAGAUACGGCCCAGACUCCUACGGGAGGCAGCAGUGGGGAAUAUUGCACAAUGGGGGAAACCCUGAUGCAGCGACGCCGCGUGAGUGAGGAAGUAUUUCGGUAUGUAAAACUCUAUCAGCAGGGAAGNUAAUGACGGUACCUGACUAAGAA